CCAGUCAUACCACCCUGAACACACCCAAUCUCCUUUGAUCUCAGAAGCUAAGCAGGUUCAGACUUCCUUAGUACUUGGAUAGGAAACUGCCUGGGAAUCCCAGGUGCUGUAAAGC
rnacentral:rRNA from 1 species